CGUAAUAUACUCUAUCAUGGCCCGAGGUAUGAAGAAACAGGUCAUUGAUGAGUUUGUCACCCAAAACAAGUAUCUGUUGGCAGCCAGGCUCACCAGCCAGAAGUUGUUCCAUGAACUCUGCCCCGUGAAACGUUCUCACCGACAGAGGAAGUACUGUGUGGUUUUACUGACCGCUGAGGCUACCAAGUUGAGUAAACCCUUCGAGGCUUUCCUGUCCUUUGCUCUGGCAAACACACAGGACACAGUGAGGUUCGUGCGCGUCUACAGCAAUCGGCAGCAGGAGUUUGCCAACACCUUACUGCCAGACAGCGACACGUUUCAAGGAAAAUCAGCGGUGUCUAUCUUAGAAAGGCGCAACACAGCAGGGAGGGUGGUGUAUAAAACCCUGGAGGAUCCCUGGACCGGGAGUGAGAGCGAUAAAUUCAUCCUUUUGGGUUAUCUUGACCAACUGCGGAAAGACCCAGCUCUUCUGUCCUCGGAAGCUGUGCUCCCCGACUUGACCGAUGAACUUGCCCCUAUUUUUCUCCUUCGGUGGCUCUAUUCUGCUUCUGACUACAUCUCAGACACUUGGGACAGCAUAUUUCACAGCAACUGGCGGGAAAUGAUGCCCCUUCUGUCCCUGGUCUUCUCUGCCCUCUUCAUCCUCUUCGGCACUGUCAUCAUUCAGGCUUUCAGCGACUCAAAUGAGGAGCGAGAGUCAAGCCCUCCAGACAAAGAGGAAGCCCGCGAGAAGAGCGGGAAGGCAGAGCCGAGCUUCACCAAGGGGCCCAGCAGCAAGAUUCCUAAAAAAGGCUUUGUGGAGGUGACCGAACUCACAGAUGUAACGUACACCAGUAACUUGGUCCGCCUGAGGCCAGGCCACAUGAACGUGGUCCUUAUCCUGUCAAAUUCCACCAAGACCAGCCUGCUGCAGAAAUUCGCUUUGGAGGUCUACACGUUCACUGGGAGCAGCUGCCUGCACUUUUCCUUCCUGAGUCUAGAUAAACACAGAGAAUGGCUGGAAUACUUACUAGAAUUUGCUCAAGAUGCGGCCCCGAUCCCAAACCAAUACGACAAGCAUUUCAUGGAACGUGACUACACGGGCUAUGUACUGGCUCUGAAUGGCCACAAGAAAUACUUCUGCCUCUUCAAGCCCCAAAAAACAGUCGAAGAGGAGGAAGCCCUGGGGUCGUGUAGUGACCUUGACUCUUCCCUCCAUCUGGGUGAAUCUCGAGGGAAAUCUUCUUCUGGCCUUGGAUCCAGGCCCAUCAAAGGAAAAUUGAGCAAGUUGUCCUUAUGGAUGGAACGGCUGCUGGAAGGCUCCUUACAGAGGUUUUAUAUCCCGUCAUGGCCUGAACUAGACUGAGAAUUUCAAAAAGAGGCUCGAACUCUUCAGGCUUUUUAACAGGCCCCUGUGAACAGGUAUUUUCAGGACUCAAACCAUCACAGUGGACAGAGUAUAGUUUAGAUUAUUCUUCCAGAACAGUGGCUAGAAGGAUCUUUCCUUUGUCCUGUUCUAACCUAGGAGUGAAAAACACCACACACUGAAUUCCCCAGAUCAGAAUACUUUCCUUUGGGUCUGUUUUCCUCAUUUGAAUGCCACACUGUUUAAAACAGACUGCUCGUUCCCUCUUCCUUUGUUGCCCCGCCCCGUGCUCGCCCCCCCCCGCCUCCCCUGUCCUGUCUCUGUGCUGUGGGAGAAGCACAGGGCUGGACCCUGCAUCAGAGCCUGGGGGGACCUCGCGAGCCUGGUGUGCUGGUCGGGCCACCUGUCCCCCGCCCAGCCUCGGCCGUGCUUCUGCCGCGGUGCAUGCUGUAACGGUGGGACAACCCACCGCAGCUUCUGGGCCCUGUGUCUCAAAAAAGGCCUAGUUCCAAGCGAUCUUACAUUAAUGGUUUUUUUGGUAGUAAAUGGCUAAAAGUAUAGUUGGGGGGUAUCCUCCUACAACAGCUUGUCAGCCACGGUUUUAAAAGGUUAGGAACGAGUGGGGUUUCUGCACAUAUGUUUGAUUUUCUUCCCGAGACAAGAGAAGGGAGGGCUGGGCAGCGCCUGAGCGAUGCCUUCGUGAGCAUCCCAUGAGCCCCCUCCCGAACACUGAAGGUAGCCGGCGAGGGAUCCGCAUGGCAAGAAGUACUGUAAUGACCUUGAGCCAUUUACCUGUAUGUUUUCAGAUGCCUUUCUGCCUCUGUCAGUUUUAGGGUAUGGAUAUUAGGAGCCAUAACUUGUAAUCUUGCUCUCUGAACGUAGAGAUAAGCUGCUAUAAGCCAGUAGAUGUUAAACUGAAGACACAUUAUUCCUGCCGUGAGUCAGGCUCAAGGAACCUCUUCCCUACAGUGAUGUCUCUUUAGUAAAAUAUCAGACAUAUCUUUGUAUCAAGGAACUUAAAAUUUCUCAGCAAUUGUAUUUUGAAUACUGUUACCCCAAAAGUGCUGUAUCUUCAAGUCCUCUUUGGUGACAAGCGAGCCAAGACACGUUCUAGACUCCUGUUUUGCUCACUUUGAGCUUCUGGCCUAUAUUCUGAUGUAUCAUCUAAUUGUUUUCACUCUUAAGUUACAACUCCUUCACCAGUAACAGGGUCAGACCUGUCAUCAGCACCCCAGCUCGCUGAGCUCCAGUGAACGAUGGACCCCAGGUGGGGCCCUACCAGCCAGUUAGAGAGCUUACCUUUUCUUUUUAGAGCACACCACCAGUGGGGUUUGGACAACCUCAAAGAGUUCAGAUGUCAAAACAGAUUGCCUUUUUGUAAAGUGAAGGGUCAAAAUCAGUGAUGGGACAAAAUAGGUUAAUAUUUGCUUUAAUCGUAAUUGCUUUAAACUAAGCCAUUUGGAUUGAGCUACAGUGGCAAGUAACAAAUUAUUUGAGCCCAGAAAUUCCUAGUUUUCAUGGAAUCUAUAGCUUUAUUUAAAAAAGUAAAUUACUGCCAGGCUUUAUUUUUCCACAUGAUCCUCUAAAAGUGGAUGUUUAUUCUGAUUGCCGUAUCUCAUGGCACCUGGCCUAGGUAGAACUGAUCAAGGAAUUCAUUUUUGGCUCUGUGAUGCACCAAGUCCUCAAAUUUAUUUCCUGCAUCUCUUAUGGCCACGUUGCUUCUAUGAGUAGUGUUUUGGUUCAGUGGUAGGUUUUUAUUUUUUUAAUUUCUGGUACUAAUGGGAUUCCUGACCUUAAUUUCUGAAAACCAAAAACACCCCAGAUUCGUUCACUUUAAAAAAUUAUAUCAUUAAAAUAAAAAGCACCUUCAGACAGCUGCACCUUUGAUUUGUGUAAAGAAAGGAAGUGAUAAUAGUGAAAACGUUCCUAGGAAAUAUUUCAAUCCAAAAAAAUCAUCUACAGAUCCAUUUGGGGGCUGGUAGCUAUGUCCCCGAAGAAGAAACUGGGAAGCUUUUAAACUGACCUUUACCCUUGACCACCCAAGCCUUUCCUCCUGAAUGUCAUUUCCAUGAAUUUGUUUACUUUUGUGUCAAAUGUAUGAGCCACUGGCCUGGUCAGCCAAUGCUACCAUUUCUCUUACUCACAUAUGUAAUCACACAGACCCAAUUUUGGCUUUAAGUUAACUUCCUAGUCUUCGAGUAUCUUGAAACUGACAAUGUUGGUGUUUUCAGAGGUAGGUCUUUCUGAUUGAUACAGACUAUGCAUCAUGUUUAGCAGAUGGGGACAACUGGCCUAAAACAAGCCUUUGUAGAUAUAUGCACCCAUUUUUUAAAAUUUUUUUUAUUAGCCCAGGUGUCGGUGGCACAAUCUGUCUAACACAGAGUUCAUCACCUCCAACUAGGGAACAUUUCAGCGAGCAAGCCUUCCCUAACUCCCAUUAGACACCACAGUCUUGCCGCCAUCGCUUAUUGACCAUGAAAACUUGGUUGUGGUUUCAAAUACUAGGUUGAUUCCCUCCUUAUUCAGUACAUAAAUGUUUUCCUGCUAUAAAAAGAAGCGGGAUCUGAAUGUGUUUUAAGUGAUUUGCAUUGUUUGGGGAAAGGGAUUAGGAGCAAACACUCCAACAUUUUUUUCUAAGUAAAAUUCCUGAAAAGCUGAUGGAAAACAUUCUUUCCAGCUGAAACGUUGGCCAUGUCCAAAUACCUGACAUUGUCCCUUGAAACAAACGCAGCGUGUCUGCGGCCGAAUCUGUUCAGUUUGUCAAGGAGGAUGAUUAUACUUUCGAGACAGACCUGAAAAGAAGAGUCCUGCCUUGCGCGCUCCUCUGCGGUUCCCCACCACCCCGUGGACAUGCUUUCCCCGGUGUUCUCUCCAUCAAGCGUCAUUCAGAAGUGGUAUUUUAAAAUUCAGAAGGCUCUCUGUUUACUCUGAGAACAGAUUUCCCCCAAAGGAAAACCUAUCAUAUUGAAGGAUCGUACGGCGGUGAAACCUCCACGAGAUCACAACCCACCACGUUCAGGCCUUGACACCCCCGGAUGAUCUCCAGAGCCUGUCCA